GGACCUAUUGGGCAACGGAUAAUGUGUCUGACUCCGAAUUAGAAGACUCCAGGUUCGAACCAUGGCAGGUUCG
rnacentral:tRNA from 1 species